GUAGAUGGAUGACAACACUUUUAUCAAGGCAGGUUGGAGCUUCAAGUGCUUCAAAAGAAAGAUAUGAAAGAGGAGAGGCUGGGUGCCUGAAAUACUGGAGCAAAAAGAGCAGACUGACCCUGGCCAAUGGUUACAUUUUGCUUUGUAAGAGACUCUCAUCUUUACCUGGAAGUUGAAAACUGACCAGAAUGAAGGCUCUUUGGUGUGAAGGCAUGCAGAUAAGCCAUUCUUCCUCCCUACAUGAGCUACAGGUAGCAACCAGGCCUUUCAAGUCCUCCUGAAAACCCAUGGCCAGUUUCCUAUGGUGGCAGUCUCUCUCUGCUACUAGCUAUCCAAUGGCAUUGCAAGGACUGCAAAUAGUUUCCAUAUCCACCCAGUUCUGAAUUCAUAAGAUAACAAAUUCCAUCCGAACAUCUGUGACAUUUGGGUUCUGAAACAGUUUCAAAUACCAUGCUGUUCAUUAGUUGGGAUUCAAUUUCCUGUACCUCUCUGCUGCAGUUUUGCUUCAAUGCAUACAGUAUGCAUAUUCAUUAAAAACAACAAUAAUAAAGUUUUGCCUGAAAAAGAAGGGUGUGCAAAUAAAAACUGCCUGGGGCCAAGCUAUGUUCUGUGUUCUGGACAUUUAUAUAACUAUCUGCAGCACACUUCAGUUAAAUAAAUAAAAAAAGACAGAUUUACCAUA